GAAAAGUUUUCCAAAGAUGAAUCACCAGAUCAUACCAAAGGAAUAACAUUCAACAGGAAGAUAAUGAGUGUUGAGAGUUCAGUCACUGAGGGAGGGCUACUCCAGGCUUUAGAUGGAUGCUUCCCGGCUGGAUCAUUCGCGGUACCAAGCAUCCAUGCAUAGAGGCGUCGAUUCAGAGACAUGUCUCUCCUGAGCAGAGAAAUCUGGGACAAGUUCAUGUGUGAUGACCACACAAAUAUAGAUGGACGUGAAGAAAGAAAGAAAAAGAAGAGGGAUAACCUGGCAGGAUGUGAAAGGGAAGAAGUAGAGAAGGAUUUCCAACAUGUUUCUCUGGAC